GUGCUCGCUUUGGUAGCACAUAUACUAAAAAAUUGGAAUGAUACAGAGAAGAUUAGUAUGGCCCCUGUGCAAGAAUGACAUGCAAAUUCGUGAAGCAUUCCAUAUUUUU
rnacentral:snRNA from 1 species